rnacentral:misc_RNA from 1 species
AAGUCGUAACAAGGUUUCCGUAGGUGAACCUGCGGAAGGAUCAUUAUUGAAUAAGAAUUGGUACUGAUGCUGGCUCUUCACUGAGCAUGUGCUCGUCCAUUCAUAUUUACCUUCUCUUGUGCACAUUUUGUAGUCUUGGAAAAGUGAAUCUCGCGUUGCUGUUCGCAGCAAGCUGCGGUUUGGGGGAUGGGCGCAAGCACUUCCCUUGCUUUUGCUUCUUUUCAAGGCUAUGUUUUCAUAUACCCUAUACAAUGUUACAGAAUGUCUUUUAACGAUUGUGCUAGUCGCAGUCAUUAAACCUAUACAACUUUCAGCAACGGAUCUCUUGGCUCUCCCAUCGAUGAAGAACGCAGCGAAAUGCGAUAAGUAAUGUGAAUUGCAGAAUUCAGUGAAUCAUCGAAUCUUUGAACGCACCUUGCGCCCUUUGGUAUUCCGAAGGGCAUGCCUGUUUGAGUGUCAUUAAAUUAUCAACCUUUGUUCGCUUGAACGAGGCUUGGAUGUGAGGGCUUGCUGGCUUCCUUCAGUGGAUGGUCUGCUCCCUUUAAAUGCAUUAGUGGGAUCUCUUGUGGACCGUCACUUGGUGUGAUAAUUAUCUAUGCCACUUGACUUUGAAGCAAAUCUUAUGAGAACCCGCUCAUAACCGUCUUGCAAGGGACAAUUUAUUGACUAUUUGACCUCAAAUCAGGUAGGACUACCCGCUGAACUUAAGCAUAUCAAUAAGCGGAGGAAAAGAAACUAACAAGGAUUCCCCUAGUAACUGCGAGUGAAGCGGGAAAAGCUCAAAUUUGAAAUCUGGCGGUUCUUGACCGUCCGAGUUGUAAUCUAGAGAA